rnacentral:rRNA from 1 species
UACGUAGGGUGCGAGCGUUAAUCGGAAUUACUGGGCGUAAAGCGUGCGCAGGCGGCUUUGCAAGACAGAUGUGAAAUCCCCGGGCUCAACCUGGGAACUGCAUUUGUGACUGCAAGGCUAGAGUACGGCAGAGGGGGAUGGAAUUCCGCGUGUAGCAGUGAAAUGCGUAGAUAUGCGGAGGAACACCAAUGGCGGAGGCAAUCCCCUGGGCCUGUACUGACGCUCAUGCACGAAAGCGUGGGGAGCAAACAGG